GCAAGGAAUCUUCCGCAAUGGGCGAAAGCCUGACGGAGCAACGCCGCGUGUGGGAUGACGCCUUUCGGGGUGUAAACCACUUUUCUCAGGGAAGAAGCACUGACGGUACCUGAGGAAGAAGGACCGGCUAACUACGUGCCAGCAGCCGCGGUAAUACGUAGGGUCCGAGCGUUGUCCGGAGUUACUGGGCGUAAAGCGCGCGCAGGCGGCGGUGUAAGCAUGGCGUGAAAGCCCCAGGCUCAACCUGGGAGGGUCGUCGUGGACUGCACCGCUUGAGGGCGGUAGGGGCUGGUGGAAUGCCUGGUGUAGUGGUGAAAUGCGUAGAGAUCAGGCGGAACACCCGUGGCGAAGGCGGCCAGCUGGGCCGUCCCUGACGCUGAGGCGCGAAGGCGUGGGGAGCGAACGGGAUUAGAUACCCGGGUAGUCC
rnacentral:rRNA from 1 species